AUGUCCAUAGUUUGUUCACUUGUCCAUGCCAAAUGGAUAGUGGGGGAGGUGAUUAGGAGAAAAAUGCAAAGGACUGCUAAGGUGAAAGUGACCAGGCUUGUUCUGGAUCUCUAUUGAUUAAAGCAUUAUAAUAAGUGGAAAUCCUACUUUGCCCACGAUGCCCAUCAGCAGUGCACAGUUGGGGAUAUCGUGCUUCUUAGAGCUUUACCUGUUCCACGCACAAAGCAUUUGAAACAUGAACUGGCCGAGAUCAUUUUCAAAGUUGGAACGGUCAUAGAUCCAGUGACAGGAAAGCCCUGUGCAGGAACUACCUACCUGGAGAGUCUGUUGAGUUCAGAAACCACCCAGCUAAGCAGACAUCUGGAAGAAUUCAAUAUCUCUUCAGCACAGUGAAGGAGGAGUGGAAGAAGGAGCUACAGGGAAAGAUUGACAUGUUUGUGUUACGGAAAAAGAAAUUUUUCUAAGUUUCAU